CAAACCUCCCUCAGCAGGGUGAAAACACCACCCUCCACUGUUUGAAGCAAAACUGCUGGCUCUAUGGGGUCUUCAGUUCACUAAAUAUUUCCUAAAUGCCUGGUUUAUUUCACUGACAAGUCAAGGAAGUUGCCACCUUUUGGUGCUCACUGGGCUGCUGUGGAUGUCUAACCUCAUUGCCAGCCACACAGAACCUGAAGCAGGGAUCGUUGCACCACUUAAUGUGAGACGCAGAGAAGAGUUGGGGAAUCCUGUUGGACCAGGAGGAGGAAUAAUAUUAGUUGGACCAAAUGGUAGAACAGGACCUGUGUGCUCAACCUUUCUUGGGAAUUCCAUUCCUCUUUGAGGCAGGCAUGGAAUCCCAGUGAACAUCCUGCACUCUCAGUGUCCAGCUGUCUGAGGCAACAGUUGUUUCCGAUGAUAGAGAACAAUUGCUUUUUUUUCUGAGAAGACUUCCAUGGCUGAGAUGAAGGCAGUCAAAAUGGAACAACUAAUGGAAAAAGUAUUGUUCAGCUGAAAACUAAAUGUGACCUUUAUGUACCUGAGCAUAGCCGUGAAGUGGAGAUUGGAGAGACUGGGUUACCCUUUUACAUUCAACCUGGAAGUGAUACCUGUGAUGGCUGCGAACCACAGCAGGAAAAUGACAUGCUAUAAAAACUUAAUAAAGAUAACUAAAAUCACCAAGAAGUUACAAGAAUUCACAAAAUGCUUAAUAUAGUUGAAAUAAAAUUAUGGAAACUUCUCAGGAUCAGAAGUAGAUAAAGGUAAUGAUACAGAGAAGCAUUAACCUAA
rnacentral:lncRNA from 1 species